rnacentral:rRNA from 1 species
GACGGAGAAUGCAAGUGUUAUCCGGAAUCACUGGGCGUAAAGCGUCUGUAGGUGGUUCGAAAAGUCCACUGUUAAAAAUUGAAGCUUAACUUCAAAGAUGCCGUGGAAACUUUCAGACUAGAGUGUGGUAGGGGUAGAGGGAAUUUCCAGUGGAGCGGUGAAAUGCGUAGAUAUUGGAAAGACCACCGAUGGCGAAGGCACUCUACUGGGCCAUUACUGACACUGAGAGACGAAAGCUAGGGGAGCAAAUGGG